rnacentral:rRNA from 1 species
UACGGGGGGAGCAAGCGUUGUUCGGAUUUACUGGGCGUAAAGGGCGCGUAGGCGGCGUGACAAGUCACUUGUGAAAUCUCCGGGCUUAACCCGGAGCGGCCAAGUGAUACUGUCGUGCUAGAGUGCGGAAGGGGCUACUGGAAUUCUCGGUGUAGCGGUGAAAUGCGUAGAUAUCGAGAGGAACACCAGUUGCGAAGGCGGGUUGCUGGGCCGACACUGACGCUGAUGCGCGAAAGCCAGGGGAGCGAACGGG